UGUGACGGCGGGCUGCGCGUGACGCUGAUGACGUACUCUCUCAUCACCACAAGAUCCGCACGUACGCGUAAAAUACGAGUUACUGAGACAGACAUCCGGGUAGUUGGAGGAUAAAGGAAGAGCAAUGGAGCGCAGAUCGAUAGAUAGGCGCACAGGACUCCUCUUGGGCCAAUCAGCACCAAUGUUUUGGAGCACAGUCGCACAGUAUGUUACUAUCAUAGAUAUCAUAUAGAGACUAGAUACCCCAUUGCCCGCUGGAAAACGAGAAAUCCGGUCGCCAUCUUGAACCGGUCGUAUUCCUACUAGUCUGUUGCGUGGCUGGCAGCAGAUAAGAUGCCAGAGCACUGUGGAGCAUUUUCCUGUUCUAAUCGCCGGACCACCGAAAAUAGUGAUUUUCACAAGUGGCUGCGUUCGGUGGAUUCGGUGGCUGCGUUCUGUGUG